GACGGUGAUCAUGGAAGUCGAAAUCCGCUAAGGAGUGUGUAACAACUCACCUGCCGAAGCAACUAGCCCUUAAAAUGGAUGGCGCUUAAGUUGUAUACCUAUACAUUACCGCUAAAGUAGAUGAUUUAUAUUACUUGUGAUAUAAAUUUUGAAACUUUAGUGAGUAGGAAGGUACAAUGGUAUGCGUAGAAGUGUUUGGCGUAAGCCUGCAUGGAGCUGCCAUUGGUACAGAUCUUGGUGGUAGUAGCAAAUAAUCGAAUGAGACCUUGGAGGACUGAAGUGGAGAAGGGUUUCGUGUGAACAGUGGUUGAUCACGAGUUAGUCGGUCCUAAGUUCAAGGCGAAAGCCGAAAAUUUUCAAGUAAAACAAAAAUGCCUAACUAUAUAAACAAAGCGAAUUAUAAUACACUUGAAUAAUUUUGAACGAAAGGGAAUACGGUUCCAAUUCCGUAACCUGUUGAGUAUCCGUUUGUUAUUAAAUAUGGGCCUCGUGCUCAUCCUGGCAACAGGAACGACCAUAAAGAAGCCGUCGAGAGAUAUCGGAAGAGUUUUCUUUUCUGUUUUAUAGCCGUACUACCAUGGAAGUCUUUCGCAGAGAGAUAUGGUAGAUGGGCUAGAAGAGCAUGACAUAUACUGUUGUGUCGAUAUUUUCUCCUCGGACCUUGAAAAUUUAUGGUGGGGACACGCAAACUUCUCAACAGGCCGUACCAAUAUCCGCAGCUGGUCUCCAAGGUGAAGAGUCUCUAGUCGAUAGAAUAAUGUAGGUAAGGGAAGUCGGCAAAUUAGAUCCGUAACUUCGGGAUAAGGAUUGGCUCUGAAGAUUGAGAUAGUCGCGGCUUGAUUGGGAAACAAUAACAUGGUUUAUGUGCUCGUUCUCGUGGGUAAAUAGAGUUUCUAGCAUUUAUGUUAGUUACUUGUUCCCCGGAUAGUUUAGUUACGUAGCCAAUUGUGGAACUUUCUUGCUAAAAUUUUUAAGAAUACUAUUUGGGUUAAACCAAUUAGUUCUUAUUAAUUAUAACGAUUAUCAAUUAACAAUCAAUUCAGAACUGGCACGGACUUGGGAAUCCGACUGUCUAAUUAAAACAAAGCAUUGUGAUGGCCCUAGCGGGUGUUGACACAAUGUGAUUUCUGCCAGUGCUCUGAAUGUCAAAGUGAAGAAAUUCAAGUAAGCGCGCGUCAACGCGCGGGAGUAACUAUGACUCUCUUAAGGUAGCCAAAUGCCUCGUCAUCUAAUUAGUGACGCGCAUGAAUGGAUUAACGAGAUUCCUACUGUCCCUAUCUACUAUCUAGCGAAACCACAGCCAAGGAACGGGCUUGGAAUAAUUAGCGGGAAAGAAGACCCUUUUGAGCUUGACUCUAAUCUGGCAGUGUAAGGAGACAUAAGAGGUGUAGAAUAAGUGGGAGAUAUUAGACCUCGGUUUGGUAUCGUCAAUGAAAUACCACUACUCUUAUUGUUUCCUUACUUACUUGAUUAAAUGGAACGUGUAUCAUUUCCUAGCCAUUAUACGGAUAUAUUUAUUAUAUCUUAUGGUAUUGGGUUUUGAUGCAAGCUUCUUGAUCAAAGUAUCACGAGUUUGUUAUAUAAUCGCAAACAAAUUCUUUAAUAAAACGAUGCAUUUAUGUAUUUUUGAUUUGAAAAUUUGGUAUAACUCCAAUUACUCAGGUAUGAUCCAAUUCAAGGACAUUGCCAGGUAGGGAGUUUGACUGGGCGGUACAUCUCUCAAAUAAUAACGGAGGUGUCCCAAGGCCAGCUCAGUGCGGACAGAAACCACACAUAGAGCAAAAGGGCAAAUGCUGACUUGAUCUCGGUGUUCAGUACACACAGGGACAGCAAAAGCUCGGCCUAUCGAUCCUUUUGGUUUAAAGAGUUUUUAACAAGAGGUGUCAGAAAAGUUACCAUAGGGAUAACUGGCUUGUGGCGGCCAAGCGUUCAUAGCGACGUCGCUUUUUGAUCCUUCGAUGUCGGCUCUUCCUAUCAUUGUGAAGCAAAAUUCACCAAGCGUUGGAUUGUUCACCCAUGCAAGGGAACGUGAGCUGGGUUUAGACCGUCGUGAGACAGGUUAGUUUUACCCUACUAAUGACAAAACGUUGUUGCGACAGCAUUCCUGCGUAGUACGAGAGGAACCGCAGGUACGGACCAAUGGCACAAUACUUGUUCGAGCGAACAGUGUAUGACGCUACUCUCGUUGGAUUAUCCUGAACGCCUCUAAGGUCGUAUCCGUGCUGGACUGCAAUGAUAAAUAAGGGCAAUUUGCAUUGU
rnacentral:rRNA from 1 species